CCGAACCGACUAAUGUUGAAAAAUUAGCGGAUGACCUGUGGCUGGGGGUGAAAGGCCAAUCAAACCGGGAGAUAGCUGGUUCUCCCCGAAAGCUAUUUAGGUAGCGCCUCGUGAAUUCAUCUCCGGGGGUAGAGCACUGUUUCGGCUAGGGGGCCAUCCCGGCUUACCAACCCGAUGCAAACUGCGAAUACCGGAGAAUGUUAUCACGGGAGACACACGGCGGGUGCUAACGUCCGUCGUGAAGAGGGAAACAACCCAGACCGCCAGCUAAGGUCCCAAAGUCAUGGUUAAGUGGGAAACGAUGUGGGAAGGCCCAGACAGCCAGGAUGUUGGCUUAGAAGCAGCCAUCAUUUAAAGAAAGCGUAAUAGCUCACUGGUCGAGUCGGCCUGCGCGGAAGAUGUAACGGGGCUAAACCAUGCACCGAAGCUGCGGCAGCGACACUGUGUGUUGUUGGGUAGGGGAGCGUUCUGUAAGCCUGUGAAGGUGUGUCGUGAGGCAUGCUGG
rnacentral:rRNA from 1 species